ACUUCCUCUGCGGAGGUGGGACUUCCGGUCUCCAGAUACUUCCGCCUAGAGCCGAAAGCUUCGUCGCUGAUUGCGUGAGGGUCUCUGGGUGCUGACAGACCGGCAGAGGGAAGAUCUCCUAUUGUGGAUUCCUGCUAUCUUAUAAUGAGUGACAUUUUGCCAUUAGAUGUCAUUGGUAGAAGAGUUGAAGUUAAUGGAGAAUAUGCAACAGUGCGCUUUUGUGGUGCUGUUCCUCCUGUGGCAGGACUCUGGUUAGGAGUUGAGUGGGACAAUCCUGAGAGAGGAAAGCAUGACGGGAGCCACGAAGGUACUAUGUAUUUUAAAUGCAGGCACCCAACAGGAGGCUCUUUUGUUCGUCCAAGCAAAGUUAAUUUCGGAGAUGACUUCCUUACUGCCCUUAAGAAGCGCUAUGUGCUCGAAGAUGGACCUGAUGAUGAUGAAAAUUCGUGUUCCUUAAAAGUUGGAAGUAAACAAGUGCAAACUAUUGGUUUUGAACAUAUUACAAAGAAGCAGAGUCAGCUGAGAGCACUGCAGGACAUUUCCCUCUGGAACUGUGCCGUGAGCCAUGCUGGUGAACAAGGAAGAAUUGCUGAAGCCUGCCCCAAUAUUCGAGUUGUAAAUUUAUCCAAAAACUUGUUGUCAACUUGGGAUGAAGUGGUUCUUAUUGCAGAGCAGCUCAAAGACCUGGAGGCUCUUGAUCUCAGUGAAAAUAAACUGCAGUUUCCCUCUGACUCACCAACUCUAACUAGAACAUUUUCUACUCUGAAGACUUUAGUCCUAAACAAAACAGGAAUAACGUGGACUGAGGUGCUGCACUGUGCUCCUUCAUGGCCAGUCCUCGAGGAACUUUACCUCAAGUCUAACAAUAUUUCCAUUUCUGAAAGGCCAGUGAAUGUCCUGCAGAAAAUGAGGUUACUAGACCUUUCCUCCAACCCAUCAAUUGAUGAAAGCCAGCUGAGCCUUAUAGCAGAUCUUCCAAGAUUAGAACACCUAGUCCUUUCUGACAUUGGACUUUCUUCUAUACAUUUUCCAGAUGCUGAAAUUGGAUGCAAAACAUCCAUGUUCCCGGCCUUGAAGUACCUCAUAGUCAAUGACAACCAGAUAUCAGAAUGGUCAUUUAUCAACGAGCUGGAUAAACUGCAGAGCCUGCAGGCCCUGUCCUGCACUAGAAACCCUUUGAGCAAAGCGGACAAAGCAGAGGAGAUCAUUAUCGCCAAGAUUGCUCAGCUGAGGACCCUGAACAGGUGCCAGAUUCUUCCAGAGGAAAGGCGUGGAGCUGAGCUAGAUUAUCGAAAAGCCUUUGGAAAUGAAUGGAGAAAGGCUGGUGGACACCCAGAUCCAGACAAAAACAGGCCAAAUGCAGCGUUUCUCUCAGCCCAUCCUAGAUACCAGCUUCUCUGCUGCAGUACGUCCAGGUAGCCUGUGCGGACUCCAGCUGGAUGUCCACAGGGCUGACGUGGCAGUGCAGAAGACUCUGCUUUGUCUUCUGUUUUGGGGGCUCUUUGUUCCCCUGUUGAAAGGGCUCUGGGCACUUUCCUGGGGCUAUAUCAACUAGUUGAAAACAUCAAUAUGAACUGACCAGUACCCCCAGAGCUCCUUGCAACUAAACCACCAAUCAAAGAAAACACAUGAUGGAACUUUUGGCUCUAGCUAUAUAUGUAGCAGAGGAUGGCCUAGUCGGUCAUCAAUGGGAGGAGAGACGCCUGGUCCUGUGAAGGUUCUAUGCUCCAGUAUAGGGGAAUGCCAGGGCCAGGAAGCAGGAGUGGGUGGGUUGGGGAGCAAGGGGGAGGGGGGAGGGAAUAGGGGGUUUUCAGAGGGGAAACUAGGAAAGGAGAUAACAUUUGAAAUAUAAAGAAAAUAUCUAAAAAUAAAUAAAUAUAUAUGUGAAAAAAAAGGAGAAAACAUACUAAAUUGGCAGUGUCAACAUGUGUUCCCUGGAGACCUACGCUUUGCAGGGAGGAGGGGGAUUGGCUCUUUAAAAGUUGGCAGUACUCCAAGGUCAUCACAAGCACUGGUAUUUUCUAAAGCUCUCAGUGUUGCAAGCUCAUAAAUAAGCUAUCAUUCUUCCCAAGUCCCCAUCCUAAGGUCAUAUGCUGUAUUGUCUGGCAUUCAGCAUUUCACAAGGGUUAAAUCAGCACUCUAAUUGGGCCCCAGGCUUUAAAGCAAAGGAUUGGCGUUAUGUACCAAUGUAUUUUCUAUUUUGUUGUGACAUCAUUUUUAUCAUUCCAUGGUUCACAUUUGAGCCAUUUUUCUUUUCAUAUAUUUCCUAAUACCAGCAGCUCACUGCAUUAAUGUUUCAGCUGGAAUAUUAUUUGAGGAAGACAAACUGCCUACGCGAAUUGCUUUCAAAUUACUCAAUUAACUGGUUCAGUUUCCUGGCUGAUCUAGAAUAUGGUGCACCUGAAGAUGAGGAGCUCAAAACACAGCAGCCAUUCAUGCUAAAAAAACAGCUACUAACCCUGAAGAUAAAAUGCUCAAAUCAACCUGAACGGCAAAUAUUAGAAAAGCAGUUGCCAGACUCCAUGACAGUUCAAAAGGUAAAGGGACUGUUGUCACGUCUUCUCAAAGUUCCUGUGUCAGAACUUCUGUUGUCCUACGAAAGUUCCAAGAUGCCGGGCAGAGAAAUUGAACUAGAAAAUGACCUACAGCCAUUACAGUUUUAUUCUGUGGAAAAUGGAGAUUGCCUACUAGUGCGAUGGUAACAGUCCAACCGUAAGAGUUUAACGACUGGAAUGUAUACACCAGAAACAAAACCUUUGCCCUCACAAAUGAUGUUAUGUUUUGUUGGGAAAAGACCAUUUGGUUGUAUAUUAAUAGAAUAAUAAAGGCUUUGAUUACUAUUGA